GCUUGUCUCAAAGAUUAAGCCAUGCAUGUCUAAGUAUAACUCUUUUACUUUGAAAACUGCGAACGGCUCAUUAUAUCAGUUAUAGUUUCUUUGAUAGUCCCUUACUACUUGGAUACCCGUAGUAAUUCUAGAGCUAAUACAUGCAUCAAUACCCAACUGUUCGCGGAAGGGUAGUAUUUAUUAGGUAUAGACCAACCCUCUUCGGAGGUGCUUUGGUGAUUCAUAAUAACUUUUCGAAUCGCAUGGCUCCAUGCCGGCGAUGGAUCAUUCAAGUUUCUGCCCUAUCAGCUUUCGAUGGUAGUGUAUUGGACUACCAUGGCAGUAACGGGUAACGAAGAAUUAGGGUUCGAUUUCGGAGAGGGAGCAUGAGAAACGGCUACCACAUCUAAGGAAGGCAGCAGG
rnacentral:rRNA from 1 species